UACAGGGGGGGCAAGCGUUGUUCGGAAUUACUGGGCGUAAAGGGCUUGUAGGUGGCCAACUAAGUCACACGUGAAAUCCCCAGGCUUAACCUGGGAACUGCGUGUGAUACUGGAUGGCUUGAAUCCGGGAGAGGGAUGCGGAAUUCCAGGUGUAGCGGUGAAAUGCGUAGAUAUCUGGAGGAACACCGGUGGCGAAGGCGGCAUCCUGGACCGGUAUUGACACUGAAAAGCGAAAGCCAGGGGAGCGAACGGG
rnacentral:rRNA from 1 species